AGUAUAUAUAUUGUAUAAUAUGAGUAUGGUAACGGGCGGGUGUUGUGGAAGUGAUGUUUAAAAUAAGAAUUCACAAUGAUGAUUGAUAUUAAAGUAUAGUACUAGUACUUGCAUGAUCAUGUAUAUGCAUUUGAUAACUGUUUGGUUUAUUAUUGAUUGUGUUGUGAUUCUAGAUUCACUGAGUAAAUUAGUUGCUCAUGACUCAUUCGUGUGUGCAGGUAACCCUUAGGCGGGAGACACUUUACUUUUUGGACGGAAGGAACGGACAACCAGCGGUAGUAUUUUGUUGUCCUUGCAACGUACCUUUUGAUGUAUAUUUACUUAAAACGUUGUUGAGCAAUAGGCCAUAGGAUAAAACUAUAACACUUUGUAAGAUGUUUAAAGUAAAUAAAUAAUGUAUAAAAGAUGUUUAUAAAUCACGAGUUCUCAUAUGAUAUUAGUCCUUGUCCGGGACGAACUAACUAUCGAAUAUUGCUUUAUCGGGUUGAAAAGCCUAGAGUAAUAUCCGAUAUGAGCGUCUGUGUUGUUUGGUUGUUGGUUUAAGGCAAUCGGAUUUAUUUCGAGAACCUCGGGUCGACCAUUAGGGAACAUCGACCUUGUCAUUUCCGGUUAUCUAUGAUCGGGGGUGUCACAACGGGUGCUACUGUCGAUCGAUACGGUGCAUUUUUCUUUGCGGAUUGAGCGUUCUAAGUGGGCAUGAUCUGAAAAGAGCAUUGUUUGUUCUUUGUUGCUUCUGGUACUGCUAGACAUGCACCUGAAAAGACAAGAAAUUGUUUUAUAAGUUUUUGCAAGUAACAAAAACCUAAACCUAACUAAAUUUGAUCUAAUGACGAUCGAAGCUCCCCGGCAACGGUGCCAAAUUUGAUAUCACUCAAAUUACCCUAUAAGUGAUUUGUACUCUCUCAAAUAAGAGGUCGAGUUCCAGUACUUAGGGAUCGGUUUCAUGGGGAGCUAAGGCACACAAUAGAUCUACUAGUUAUGUGGUUAAGCUAGACAAACAUGUUUAAAUGUAAAUAGCAAAGUUGUGAGCAAAUAAAUGUUUAUUAAUUGAUUGGGGUUUUAAGACAGAUAUGGAAAACAUUAGACUUAGGGUUUCUAUUCAAACAAUCAUGAUUAUAGAGAUAUAGAUACUAAGCAUAUAUCGGAUAUUUUAGAACUCAAACAAUAAGAACAGUCGAUCAACUUCCAUAUUUUUAGACUAUCUAUCACCAGAUCUAAGUUAUUAGCUGUCGUUUGUUGGUCCUGAGAAAGUGUCGAUCGAUUCCAACAACGGGGUGUCGAUCGAUACACCUUUCAGCCUGUCGAUCGAUUCCAACAACGGGGUGUCGAUCGAUACACCUUUCAGCCUGUCGAUCGAUACAACUAAUGAGUUGUCGAUCGAUGAACCUUCCAGGGAGCGUUGACGCAACAGGGUGUCGAUCGAUACACCUUUCAGCCCGACAUUUCGUAUUUUGGGCGGGAACAAAAUCAUUCCUUCAAUUCGGAACACAAUAUUAAAAAUUUAAUCUUUUAUUAAAUUUGAACCUCAAACCCUAAACUAUAGAACUAAAAAGUUAUAAAAAUUAUAAAAUUUAUCUUUUGAACAUUAAAUCUAAUAUUUUUUUAUUAUUUUAAAGUUUAAGAUUUAGGUUUAGAGUUUAGAGUUAAACUCAGCCGUGACAUAUGCAUAACUCAGCCGUAAAGUAUGCAUAACUCACCUGUAACGUAUCUGAAUGGUAUAAGUCAGCCGUAAUAUUCUUAUAAGUCAGCCAUCAAGUGUAAUUUGUUUUGCGAUGUUUCUUAUUCUGGGCGGGAAGAAAAUCAUUCCUUCAACUCUGAAACUCUGAACAAAAUAUUAAAACUUUAAUCUGUUUUUAAAUUGAAACCUCAAACCCUAAACUAUAGAACUAUAAAGUUAUAAAAAUUAUAAUGUUUAUCAUUUUAACACUAAAUCUAAUAUUUUUAUUAUUUUAAAGUUUAAGAUUUAGGUUUAGAGUUUAGGUUUAUAGUUUAGAGUUAAACUCAGCCGUAACAUAUGCAUAACUCAGCUGUAAAGUAUGCAUAACUCAGCCGUAAUGUAUCUGAAUAGCAUAAGCCAUCUGUAAUGUUCCAAUAACUCAGCCGUCGAAUGUAAUUUGUUUCACGACGUUUCGUAUUUUGGGCGAGAACAAAAUCAUUCCUUCAACUCUAAACACAAUAUUAAAACUUUAAAUCUUUUUCAAAAUUUGAACUUCAAAACUGUAUAUAUACAAUACUAAAAGCCAAAUAUCCUUACUCUUUAGGGUGUCCACGUCACUUAAAAUAUUUUUCCAAUCAGAACAUUUCAUUUGGACACGUCAGACUGGCUUCAAUUACUUAUGGGCUUCACGUUCUUCUUUUAUUUGGAGUGGGCUCCACGUGUAAUCACUUUGAUUUUAAGUGUUUCACGCUUUUGUUAGGCACACAAUAAUGGACCUGAAUUUUCAAAACGAGCCCACAAAAUCAGAAUUGCUUAUAAUGAACUAAACUUCCUACGGAGCCCACCACAAGCUCCUCCUUCGAACUCUCUUCUUCAUAUUUUUUUUUUUUUGAAAACAGCUCUUCGUCUUCUAUAUUGUUCUCUUUUCCACUGCAGAAACAUAACUAUAUGUAACGCUUUCUCCACCAUUGAAAAAAUAUAUUAAGUUUCACCAUUAAGUCACUCCAUUCAACUUUCCCACUACUCGAAUUUAAUUACUUCUCUUCCCAUCUUCUUUGCAAAUCCCUAAUUUUCCAUACCAUAUAUAGUGGUGCAGCCAUCUACAUAUCUCAUUGUUUCACAAGAUUCAUCAUCGUUUCUUCCUUAUAGUGAUGACACGUCUCAUGUAGAGUCAAGAAUCAAAAGAUGAGUGAUACAGAGGAGGCCAUGAAUGAUCUGCGAUGACCUUUCAUACACACAUGAGGGUGUACCGGAUCGGUUCAAGACAAUCAAGUAUUAUGGGUUCACCUCAAGUUAUCAGAUACAGCUCUAUCCCUAUUCUUUCAUAUUCCAUCAGUUUCACUGUAAGAAGAAAAUUCCAAACUUUUUUAAUUUUUUUUAAUUUGUCAAAAGUUGUGACUGAUUUGUAUCUUUUGGGUCCAGUGUAGUCUCCAACACAAGCUGCAAUCACUAAGGAUCUCAGUUUAACUGUUGCUGAGGACCUGAGGUACUUAACCAAUUUUUCUGUCUAGAGCUGUCUGGUUGAUUCUUUGCCUGACUUUGAUAUCAUGUCCAUGUAUUAGUACUCUGUGUUUGGUUCUCUAUCCAACGUGGCUGCUAUGGUUGGUGCAAUUUCCACAGGUCAGAUCGCAUAAGGAAGUUGGACGAAAAGGGGUAUUGUUUCGUUUCCUGAGUAUUAAGCUACCCUGUUCGAAUCUUGAUCCUGCUAAUAACAUAUUCAUUCCUUUACUUAACCCUUUGAUUGUGUGUUUUCUUUGACAGUCCCUCAUGAAUGCUGGUCGGCUUUCAUAUCAUUUGCAAAAGUGAGUUAUUUUUCAGAUUCUUUAUUUGACUUCAGUCUGAAAAUAUUAGAUUGACCUUACAUCAUACUGGCUUCAUAGGAUACUUCUUUAGUAAUUUUCUUUUCAUGGGAAGAGUUUUAGAAGGCUCUGGUGUUGGGAUCAUUUAGUGGAUAUUAGUCUUUAGAUAUGGCUUACUUAGAUCUCAAUGGAACAUGUAUCACUGGCUAUAUCAUUUGUAUAGCUCUAACAUAUGUGUUAUGUUCGGUUAUUACACAGGCAAUAGGUUAAAAGAAGCAUAUGAAAAGGCUCAAUGCUCCAAAACAUUGGAUGCUUGACAAACUUGGUGGUGCAUUUGUAUUUCUUCUCUGAGAAUUUCUGUCUUCUCUAUGAUAGCGAGGGACGUUUCCGUCUUCACUCCAUCAGGGACGUUUCCGUCUUCACUCCAUCAGGGACGAAGAAGCUAAGUAUAAGCUUUGCAAGGUUCGAACUAUCCAGUUCAAACAAAAGGGCAUCUCUUUCCAGACAAACUAUUAAGCUCGGCCUGGAGGAGAACAAGAUUGUUGCGUUCAUCAAGUUAGAUUUCGGUAAUGUUGUGAUGGUGACUGGAGGUAGAAACAGAGGGAAUGUUGGUGUGAUUAGAAACCGUGCGAAGCUUAAGGGAAGCUUUGAGACUACCACCACAUACAAGACUCAACAGGACAUGAGUUUGCAACAAGGUUGAGGAAUGUGUUCACGCUAGGAAAAGGGUCAAAGUGUUGAAUGUGCUUUAUUAAGGGUUUAGGGUGUAAGCUUACCAAAAUAGAAGAAGCCAGGAAGAGGCUCGCUAGCCAACAGACUUUGUGGCUUUGAGCUAUUUAUUAUAUUGUUUAGAUGACUUUUAUUUCCUACACUCACUUUGCUUUUGGUUCGCUUCCAAGCUUUGAAAAUAAUAUGUUUUUUAAACUAUCUCAAGAGUUAAAAAUGGAUCCAUAGAAAAUUUCAAAAUAGAAAAUCUCAAAAUAGACGCAUAUGUUGGUUCGCUGCUCAGUUUUGAAUCUUAUCUUAUUUUAUCAAAAGUUUAAGGGUGUUAAUCAUUUAUGCAAUUAAAUUGAUUUGCAAAUAAUAUAUAUUCACAACUCCAAGUAAAUUUUACUCAUUUUAAAAUCGAAUACAGUAUAUAGAUUCUAAUUAAUAUUUACGAAUUCUUAAUUUUUGUCUUUGUAUUUUAAAUAAAAAAUCCAUUGAAGUCUCUCAGAAUAAAAUAAAAAAACAAUCCCAUAUGACAAACACUUCUUUUUUAAAACACUUAUUAUCAUUUCAGAAAUAAUCAGAUAUAA